rnacentral:piRNA from 1 species
UGCGAUGGGUUGGAGGAACUACUGUG